AGACAUCUAUAUUCGGCCCGGGGGCAUCAUCUGACGAACAGUACACCAAUAUGAACAAAAGAGGGAAAAAACAAAAGGUUGACCCAGUAUCCGAGGAACGUUUCUUUAGGAAUCCAGAGAAAAAAGCUGCAAGAUCCUGGGCCCGGAUUCCUCAGGAGCAUUGGAACGCGAGUCCGAACACACGCGCGCAGGCGCAACUAGACAUGCAUGACUACGAGAAGGAACAGGAAAACCUGGUGAAGG